ACGAGAACAGCACGCGAGAGACCCGUCCCGCGAGCCACUGUCACGAGAACAGCACGGGAGAGACCCGCCCCGUCAUCCACUGUCACGAGAACAGAACGCGAGAGACCCGCCCCACGAGCCACUGUCACGAGAACAGCACGGUAGAGACUCGCCCCGUGAUCUACUGUCACGGGAACAGCACGGGAGAGACGCGCCCCGUGAGCCACCCUCAGGAGAACAGCACGGGAGAGACCCGCCGCCAUGACUCCUCCCACCGGGUCCCUCCCCCGACACAUGGGAAUUGGAGAUGAGGUUUGGGGGGACGCCCAAACCACAUCAGUUUGGCAAUAGGUACUGGUCAGAGCCGGAGACCAGGAUGACCCUGCGCCCUCCGCUGAGGUGUAGAGUGACCAGCGAGGGGAACUCCAGGGUAAAACAGAGUGGCAACCCCUAAGGACCUGGGGGACAAACAGCACAAAGAUCCUUUAAUGAAGCAUUUUCAGAGCUUAGGAUAUUUCCAACAAAAUAUUUUCCCCAAAAGAUGUCUUUAAUAAUACUGGAUGCGUUGAUUUUAAGAGGGUCCUAAAGAGACACGUUUGAGUCACCGGUCUCUCUCCCGUGUACUGGUAUUUUCAAUACAUAAUGUCUGGAGCAGAGCAUGGAAAUGGCCUGAAAAUAGCCUCUCCUUUGCAUGCAGGAACACACAGAUGAGAGGAUGUGUCUUCAGGAGCAAGAUUUUCUUGAGUGCUCAAGACCAACCUUGGACAACACCAGGUGAUAGAGCUGAAAACAGGAACAGCCUUGAGACUUCUCUUAACUGACAGAAGUGUUUGGGGCAGAAAUACAAUUAAAUGCUCUGGAUUUGAUUUGA